rnacentral:rRNA from 1 species
GGGGGCUUAGUGGUGGGGUGACUGCGUACCUUUUGUAUAAUGGGUCAGCGACUUAUAUUCUGUAGCAAGGUUAACCGAAUAGGGGAGCCGUAGGGAAACCGAGUCUUAAUUGGGCGUUAAGUUGCAGGGUAUAGACCCGAAACCCGGUGAUCUAGCCAUGGGCAGGUUGAAGGUUGGGUAACACUAACUGGAGGACCGAACCGACUAAUGUUGAAAAAUUAGCGGAUGACCUGUGGCUGGGGGUGAAAGGCCAAUCAAACCGGGAGAUAGCUGGUUCUCCCCGAAAGCUAUUUAGGUAGCGCCUCGUGAAUUCAUCUCCGGGGGUAGAGCACUGUUUCGGCUAGGGGGCCAUCCCGGCUUACCAACCCGAUGCAAACUGCGAAUACCGGAGAAUGUUAUCACGGGAGACACACGGCGGGUGCUAACGUCCGUCGUGAAGAGGGAAACAACCCAGACCGCCAGCUAAGGUCCCAAAGUCAUGGUUAAGUGGGAAACGAUGUGGGAAGGCCCAGACAGCCAGGAUGUUGGCUUAGAAGCAGCCAUCAUUUAAAGAAAGCGUAAUAGCUCACUGGUCGAGUCGGCCUGCGCGGAAGAUGUAACGGGGCUAAACCAU